rnacentral:tRNA from 2 species
GGGCCCUUAGCUCAAUGGUAGAGCGCUUCAUUUGCAAUGAAGAGGUUACCAGUCCGAGUCUGGUAGGGUCCACCA